UACGGGGGGGGCAAGCGUUGUUCGGAAUUACUGGGCGUAAAGGGCUCGUAGGCGGCCAACUAAGUCGGACGUGAAAUCCCUCGGCUUAACCGGGGAACUGCGUCCGAUACUGGAUGGCUAGAGUUCGGGAGAGGUGAGUGGAACUGCGAGUGUAGAGGUGAAAUUCGUAGAUAUUCGCAAGAACACCAGUGGCGAAGGCGGCUCACUGGCCCGAUACUGACGCUGAGGUGCGAAAGCGUGGGGAGCAAACAGG
rnacentral:rRNA from 1 species